rnacentral:misc_RNA from 1 species
GGGCCAUCAUCUUCUGUAAAUUUUCCAUGAUUACAACACAAAUACAUUUCAAUGAUAACAUCAUUUGGAAAAUUUGGCUCCAUUGCAAUCUUGUUACAAACUUUUUUUUAUCUGCCAAUUUUCAUGCUUUUGCUGCUCCUUUUCUUUACGAUCCUUAUCACAGCAGAUGCAAUUACAUUUAAAACCUUCUGGCUUUUUUUUGC